UACGUAGGGUGCAAGCGUUGUCCGGAAUUAUUGGGCGUAAAGAGCUCGUAGGCGGUUUGUCGCGUCUGCUGUGAAAUCUGGAGGCUCAACCUCCAGCCUGCAGUGGGUACGGGCAGACUAGAGUGCGGUAGGGGAGAUUGGAACUCCCGGUGUAGCGGUGGAAUGCGCAGAUAUCAGGAAGAACACCCGUGGCGAAGGCGGCUCUCUGGAACGCAACUGACGCUGAGACGCGAAAGCGUGGGGAGCAAACAGG
rnacentral:rRNA from 1 species